AUUGAACGCUGGCGGCAGGCCUAACACAUGCAAGUCGAACGGUAACAGGAAUCAGCUUGCUGAUUCGCUGACGAGUGGCGGACGGGUGAGUAAUGUCUGGGAAACUGCCUGAUGGAGGGGGAUAACUACUGGAAACGGUAGCUAAUACCGCAUAACGUCGCAAGACCAAAGAGGGGGACCUUCGGGCCUCUUGCCAUCGGAUGUGCCCAGAUGGGAUUAGCUAGUAGGUGGGGUAACGGCUCACCUAGGCGACGAUCCCUAGCUGGUCUGAGAGGAUGACCAGCCACACUGGAACUGAGACACGGUCCAGAUUCCUACGGGAGGCAGCAGUGGGGAAUAUUGCACAAUGGGCGCAAGCCUGAUGCAGCCAUGCCGCGUGUAUGAAGAAGGCCUUCGGGUUGUAAAGUACUUUCAGCGAGGAGGAAGGUGUUGUGGUUAAUAACCGCAGCAAUUGACGUUACUCGCAGAAGAAGCACCGGCUAACUCCGUGCCAGCAGCCGCGGUAA
rnacentral:rRNA from 1 species